UACCAGCGGUUCGAGUCGCAGCCAUUUUUAUUGGGUCUAAAACAUCCGUAGCUGGCUUUGUAAGUUUCUUGUGAAAUCUUAUCUCUUAAGGAUAAGGCGUGCAAGAAAUACUGCAUUGCUAGAGACCGGAAGACGUAAGGAGUACGAUUAAGGUAGUAGUAAAAUGCGUUGAUCUUAAUUGGACUAACAAGAGCGAAGGCACCUUACGAGGACGGAUCUGACAGUAAGGGAUGAAGGCUAGGGGCGCAAAAUGGAUUAGAUACCCGCGUA
rnacentral:rRNA from 1 species